UCUGGUGCCAGAGAUAGCCCACACCUACAAGGCUGACAGAGAGAAGUACAACAGACUAGGAAGAGAGUGGACACAGAAAUAUGCUAUGCCUGCGUUCCUUGAGUCUGGCUCUUCUGCCUGGUGCACACACUCCCUCCCUAGCAGUGCUGGGUAGUGACUGGACCUGUAUUGGACCUAGCCUCGAAUGCUGGUCCUCUGCAAGCAGAGGAUGUGGCGGUCAGCACCCUCAAGACAGCAGCCUGUUGCCAUGCAGGCAGCAGCAGCAAGCCCAUCCUGAGCAGCAUGCCUUCCAGAGGACUGCUCCAUCACCUGCUGUCCACUGGUGACAGGAGGAAGAAGGACUUUUCCUCUCGUGGCCAGUUUUCUGGCUUCGUUGUGCCUACCAUCCUGGUCUUUUCUUGUUGAGAGAUUGUAUUAAAAACAAAAACAAAAAGCUA